rnacentral:rRNA from 1 species
AGUGAACGCUGGCGGCGUGCUUAACACAUGCAAGUCGAACGAGAACGGACUUAAGCUUGCUUAAGUUGUCAGCUAAGUGGCGCACGGGUGAGUAAUGUAUAGUUAACCUGCCCUCUAGAGAGGAAUAACAGUUGGAAACGACUGCUAAUGCCUUAUAUGCCUUUAAGACAGAAGUCUGCAAGGGAAAUGCUUUAGUGCUAGAGGAUGGGACUGUAUGGUAUCAGUUAGUUGGUGGGGUAAUGGCUUACCAAGACAAUGACGCCUAACUGGUUUGAGAGGAUGAUCAGUCACACUGGAACUGAGACACGGUCCAGACUCCUACGGGAGGCAGCAGUGGGGAAUAUUGCACAAUGGAGGAAACUCUGAUGCAGCAACGCCGCGUGGAGGAUGAC